GAUGAACGCUAGCGGCAGGCUUAAUACAUGCAAGUCGAGGGGUAGCAAGAUUGUAGCAAUACAAUUGUUGACGACCGGCAAACGGGUGCGGAACACGUACACAACCUUCCUACAAGUGGGGAGUAGCUCAGAGAAAUUUGGAUUAAUACCCCGUAACAUAGCGAUGUGGCAUCACAUUGCUAUUAUAGCUUCGGCGCUUGUUGAUGGGUGUGCGGCUGAUUAGAUAGUUGGCGGGGUAACGGCACACCAAGUCUACGAUCAGUAGCUGAUGUGACAGCAUGAUCAGCCACACGGGAACUGAGACACGGGCCCGCCUCCUACGGGAGGAAGCAGUAAGGAAUAUUGGACAAUGGACGCAAGUCUGAUCCAGCCAUGCCGCGUGAAGGAUUAGGGUCCUCUGGAUUGUAAACUUCUUUUAUAAGGGACGAAAAAAGGUCUUUCUAGAUCGUCUGACGGUACCUUAUGAAUAAGCACCGGCUAUCUCCGUGCCAGCAGCCGCCGUAACAC
rnacentral:rRNA from 1 species